rnacentral:piRNA from 1 species
UCCUUCACUGUCGCAGGACCUACACUGUU